GAGACAUAAGAGGCUCCGAUUCUGGGAUGGGAAGAUCCUCUGGAGGAGGGCAGAGCUACCCACUGCAGCAUUCUUGCUUGGAGAAUCCCAUGGAUAGAGGAGCCUGGCGGGCCACGGUCCACAGGGUUGCACAGAAUUAGACACGACUGAAGCGACUUAGCAGGCACGCAUGCAAGAGAUCCCGUCACCUACCAGAGUGGAUGUGAGCAGCAGCGAGGGUGAAUUUAUGUAGACUUCCCAAGGAGGCAGUUACAGAAAACCCAGGCCAUAUAAAAAGGCUUUUAGGUUUAUAUCCUGGUCUCUGCAUAUCCUGCUAUGUUUAAUGGCUUUGCAUACUCUCCGCCUACCUAAGAGCAUGACCCAAGAAUUACAGACCCACCCAAGCUGUCUUUCCUGUAU
ensembl:lncRNA